rnacentral:rRNA from 1 species
AUUGAACGCUGGCGGCAGGCCUAACACAUGCAAGUCGAACGGUAACAGGAAGCAGCUUGCUGCUUCGCUGACGAGUGGCGGACGGGUGAGUAAUGUCUGGGAAACUGCCUGAUGGAGGGGGAUAACUACUGGAAACGGUAGCUAAUACCGCAUAACGUCGCAAGACCAAAGAGGGGGACCUUCGGGCCUCUUGCCAUCGGAUGUGCCCAGAUGGGAUUAGCUAGUAGGUGGGGUAACGGCUCACCUAGGCGACGAUCCCUAGCUGGUCUGAGAGGAUGACCAGCCACACUGGAACUGAGACACGGUCCAGACUCCUACGGGAGGCAGCAGUGGGGAAUAUUGCACAAUGGGCGCAAGCCUGAUGCAGCCAUGCCGCGUGUAUGAAGAAGGCCUUCGGGUUGUAAAGUACUUUCAGCGGGGAGGAAGGCGAUAAGGUUAAUAACCUUGUCGAUUGACGUUACCCGCAGAAGAAGCACCGGCUAACUCCGUGCCAGCAGCCGCGGUAAUACGGAGGGUGCAAGCGUUAAUCGGAAUUACUGGGCGUAAAGCGCACGCAGGCGGUCUGUCAAGUCGGAUGUGAAAUCCCCGGGCUCAACCUGGGAACUGCAUUCGAAACUGGCAGGCUAGAGUCUUGUAGAGGGGGGUAGAAUUCCAGGUGUAGCGGUGAAAUGCGUAGAGAUCUGGAGGAAUACCGGUGGCGAAGGCGGCCCCCUGGACAAAGACUGACGCUCAGGUGCGAAAGCGUGGGGAGCAAACAGGAUUAGAUACCCCGGUAGUCCACGCCGUAAACGAUGUCGACUUGGAGGUUGUGCCCUUGAGGCGUGGCUUCCGGAGCUAACGCGUUAAGUCGACCGCCUGGGGAGUACGGCCGCAAGGUUAAAACUCAAAUGAAUUGACGGGGGCCCGCACAAGCGGUGGAGCAUGUGGUUUAAUUCGAUGCAACGCGAAGAACCUUACCUACUCUUGACAUCCAGAGAACUUAGCAGAGAUGCUUUGGUGCCUUCGGGAACUCUGAGACAGGUGCUGCAUGGCUGUCGUCAGCUCGUGUUGUGAAAUGUUGGGUUAAGUCCCGCAACGAGCGCAACCCUUAUCCUUUGUUGCCAGCGGUUAGGCCGGGAACUCAAAGGAGACUGCCAGUGAUAAACUGGAGGAAGGUGGGGAUGACGUCAAGUCAUCAUGGCCCUUACGAGUAGGGCUACACACGUGCUACAAUGGCGCAUACAAAGAGAAGCGACCUCGCGAGAGCAAGCGGACCUCAUAAAGUGCGUCGUAGUCCGGAUUGGAGUCUGCAACUCGACUCCAUGAAGUCGGAAUCGCUAGUAAUCGUGGAUCAGAAUGCCACGGUGAAUACGUUCCCGGGCCU